CCUACGGGAGGCAGCAGUGGGGAAUAUUGGGCAAUGGAGGAAACUCUGACCCAGCAAUGCCGCGUGAAUGAAGAAGGUCUUCGGAUUGUAAAGCUCUUUAGUCAGGGAAGAAUAAAAUGACGGUACCUGAACAAUAAGCGCCGGCUAACUACGUGCCAGCAGCCGCGGCACUACGAAGGGAGCAAGCGUUGUUCGGAAUGACUGGGCGUAAAGGGUGCGUAGGCGGUUAUACAAGUUAGAAGUGAAAUACCCAGGGCUUAACUCGGGGGCUGCUUCCAAAACUGUAAGGCGUGAGGGCAGUAGAGGAUAGUGGAAUUCCUAGUGUAGCGGUGGAAUGCGUAGAGAUUAGGAAGAACACCAGAGGCGAAGGCGGCCAACUGGACUGCAACUGACGCUGAGGCACGAAAGUGUGGGGAGCGAACAGGAUUAGAUACCCGGGUAGUC
rnacentral:rRNA from 1 species